CCUACGGGAGGCAGCAGUGAGGAAUAUUGGUCAAUGGACGAGAGUCUGAACCAGCCAAGUAGCGUGAAGGAUGACUGCCCUAUGGGUUGUAAACUUCUUUUAUAAAGGAAUACAACGAGGCACGUGUGCCUUUUUGCAUGUACUUUAUGAAUAAGGAUCGGCUAACUCCGUGCCAGCAGCCGCGGUAAUACGGAGGACCCGAGCGUUAUCCGGAUUUAGUGGGUUUAAAGGAAGCGUAGAUGGGUUGUUAAGUCAGUUGUGAAAGUUUGCGGCUCAACCGUAAAAUUGCAAUUGAUACUGGCAGUCUUGAGUACAGUUGAGGUAGGCGGAAUUCGUGGUGUAGCGGUGAAAUGCUUAGAUAUCACGAAGAACCCCGAUUGCGAAGGCAGCUUACUAAACUGUGACUGACAUUGAUGCUCGAAAGUGUGGGUAUCAAACAGGAUUAGAUACCCCAGUAGUC
rnacentral:rRNA from 1 species